UUGUUUUGGGUCAGAGGUCAGGAAGAUUAGUCUGUUGGGGUUACUAGUUUUUGCUGACCCAAGUCCCGUAAGUCUUUUGUAGACCACCACGUCCGUAGGACAGGGAGCAUAUGUGUCUUGCUGUCUGCCGUAUUCCUAUUGCUUAGCCCAGUGCUAGGCACUUGGUAGGUGGACAAGAGAAAUUUAAUGAAUGAAAUUGGGGGCAAAGAAAUAAAUGGGUUCAACUGAAAUGGAACAUCUUGAUAAGAAAGGGAAAACUCAAAUGGUCUUAUUAAUUUUAUCUUGACAUAGUUGAACUAAGGUGAACGGGCAAAUGGGGGGAAGUUGCAAGAUAGAAUGAAAAUUAAGAUAGAAAAUAAAUAUUGAUAGAGCAGCUGCAUCAAAGGUUUAUGGUGAGCUGUAAAGAGUGGGAGAGAUAAGUAUGUUUAUUGAUGUCUAUUGAGCAGAAAGCCAUUUAAUAUUAUACUAAAUUGGAAACUUGUUUUUUCCUUAUAGACACAAGGUGUGAACAGAGAGCAAUUUACAGAGUUGACAAACACUGUGUCAUAUAGUGGGAAAAGGAAAGGACCCGAUUCGUUGUCUGAUGGACCAGCUGGUAAAAGGCCAGCUUUGCUGCAUACCCAGUUUUUGACACCACCUCAAACACCAACACCCGCAGAGAGCAUGGAAGAUGCUCACCACAAUGAAUCCAAACAGGACAGCAGUGCUGAUCUGCUUCAGAACAUUAUCAACAUCAAGAAUGAAUACAGCCCGGUUUCCCUGAAUACUGUCCAAGUUAGCUGGGUGAGCCCUGCGGUGGUCCCUCAGGGCUCUCCCCGAGAGCAGUGCCAGGACUUCCAUGGAGGGCAGAUCUUCAGUCCACCUCAGAAGUACCAGCCUUUGCAAGUCAGCAGCUCCCCACACUUGAUGGAUCAGGCUUCCAUGUACCAGUAUUCUCCUCAGAACCAGAACAUGCAGCCACAGCCGCAGCAGCAGCCACAGCACUGUACCCAGAACCCAACUCUGGAAUACAGUCCUUAUUCCAGAACUUCCCAGUCUCCCAACUAUGAGCCAAACUUCUUUAGUAACCAAGAACUACAGUUCUGCCCAAACCAAAGUUUUGCAUCCCUUUUAACUAGUCA